rnacentral:rRNA from 1 species
UACGUAGGGGGCUAGCGUUGUCCGGAAUCAUUGGGCGUAAAGCGCGUGUGGGCGGUUCGGUAAGUCCGCUGUGAAAGUCGGGGGCUCAACCCUCGAAUGCCGGUGGAUACUGUCGGACUAGAGUACGGAAGAGGCGAGUGGAAUUCCUGGUGUAGCGGUGAAAUGCGCAGAUAUCGGGAGGAACACCAAUGGCGAAGGCAGCUCGCUGGGACGGUACUGACGCUGAGACGCGAAAGCGUGGGGAGCAAACAGG